CCCGCACUGGCAAAACUUCUGAAUUGCUAAGAAACAUCUUCAGGACCUAUGAUCUCCUUACGUCGAUGUUAACAGCAGACACACAAUUACUCUGCAGGCACUUCCCAUCUUCCUGCGUGAAGAUGCUGCUGGAUUUUUUAAGACCUGGAAUGCAGAAGACAUUGACCUGCCAGACCUCUCGGAUACAACUGUAGCUGUUCUCACUGUCUCGAAUGAUACAGUCUCUCUUGUGAAGUUUGGUCCUGCAACACAUUC